ACGCUAGCAAAAAGGCCGGCGCAGAGCGCCACCACCCACCACACAAACAGCCAGCCGCUGCCGUCCUCGGUCCUCCCGACGGCCGGCGAUGGCGACCCUGGGCGUGCUACUGCUGCUGCUCCGGAGGAACGCUCACCUAGAGCAGGAUCUCGACCUUCGCUUCCGCCUCUUCCGCUACUGGGACUCCCUACCCGAUGGGCACGCCUAGUUCCUUCGCGCCAACGCCUCCGCCAUCGGCCCCUCAUUGGCAACCCCGAUGCCGCAUCGAUGUGCCGCCGUCCUUCUCUGUGGGGACGGACUACGUCGACCUCCCAAGUACCGGGAGCGCCGCACCCGCGUCACCAACAUCCCCAACUUCCUCACCGACGACGUUGCCGGCCUCGCUAUCUUUGUGCCAAGGGAGACCGCGCAGGCUGACUGCUACAUGCACGCCGGCUUGUGGAAGGCAAGAGGAACUACACAGUCACCACGCUGGUUGGUAUCCGAUGCUUUUGCCUUGACUUCUGUUCAUAUUUUUCCCUUAAUAUAAAUGAAACUUAAAUACAGUAUAUCUUAAUCGAUACUUUUAGUGGAUACAUGGUCGAUGGCACAAGUUAUUACUUACUGGUGAGACAUCGCCUGUCGAGAUGGCGAGGCUUCGCUUGGACAUACACAUACCUCUAUGUAGCCCAAAUCGUUAGGGUCAAAUUCUUGCUGACGAGGACUGUGUACUCAUACGCUCGCUCCUUGAUAUUUGAAAGUUUGUUUGCUGGCGAAGUGUGUCAUCAUUUGCUUAAUUAAAAGCAAAAUAUAUGCUUCACAUUUACACACUAAGACUAUAUUUUCAGUAUGGUUUCUUGUGACUAACCUCCUUAACAUCCUCGGAUGUGAUUCUUCCCUCAGCAUUUUGUCAACCCUGAACAAAGUGCACCUAUAUAUCAAGAGUGUAGGAAACCAAGAAAAAACAUUUAGCAGGAGUGAACUACUAACAUGUCGAUGCAUGUUUGGUGACGGUUGUCGAAACCCUGGUGAUUGAGUUGCUCCCAGAGCUCUUUCAGCUCCACCUUGGUCAGCACUUCAUUGUCCCUCUCUUCCUUGCCAGUGAAUCGAACAACCUCGCCGUUGUCUCUGAACCAGGUGGUCUUUGUGGCCUUUGCUGCUUGAACCUUCUAAGCUCCCACUAUUUGUGUUUGGGAUAAGCGUUGCAGUGUCAGAAUCAGUGGCUCACUUGGCAGCUUCAGUGUCAGACAUGUCCUUAUUUACCUACCUCUAGGACAACUUCUCCUCCCUACUCAAAGGAGAAGUUGGUCACUAACUGUCUUUUUCAGCGAAUCAAAACUUGCUGCAGAUGUGUCUCCACACAUAGAAAGGUAAAUAAAAAUAGAAGUUACGAUUGUACUUGUAAUAACUUAAGAUACAUGAAUAGAAAUUACAAGAGAAGAGAUCUCACUUUCUAUUUUCCAACCGCUCAGAUCUACCUAGCUCAAUUAAGAACUCAUCUCUCCAUGNNNNNNNNNNNNNNNNNNNNNNNNNNNNNNNNNNNNNNNNNNNNNNNNNNNNNNNNNNNNNNNNNNNNNNNNNNNNNNNNNNNNNNNNNNNNNNNNNNNNNNNNNNNNNNNNNNNNNNNNNNNNNNNNNNNNNNNNNNNNNNNNNNNNNNNNNNNNNNNNNNNNNNNNNNNNNNNNNNNNNNNNNNNNNNNNNNNNNNNNNNNNNNNNNNNNNNNNNNNNNNNNNNNNNNNNNNNNNNNNNNNNNNNNNNNNNNNNNNNNNNNNNNNNNNNNNNNNNNNNNNNNNNNNNNNNNNNNNNNNNNNNNNNNNAAUUGGACUGAACCCCAAGUGGAGAAACAAACAUACACUAACUAACAAUCAAGUACAUUUUUUUUACGUCAAAGGGAAAAAUAGCAAAGUUUAUACCUUAAACCCGAGAGAGACAUCGAGCCCUAAUUGGAACCGGGAGCAAAGAGAACCCUUAAUUAAUACUCCCUUUGUCUCAAAAUAUAAGGCAUUUUUGACACUUUUGAGACAUAGGGAGUACAAACCAAGUUGUCUGGGACCUAAAAAGCAUGAGGUAAAGCACCAACCAACAAUGGCACUUGGCACUAGUCACUGGUGUCUACUCUACUCCUCCGAAUGUGAAUCGCUGGCCUUGCGACAAAUGACACGGGGGAAAUUGGUUAGUGCAUGGUUGCACUUCAGCUAUAGGAAACUUAAGGGAAAAACCCACGAUAUUCAUAUUUUUCUCUUUGAAUCAGAUCUAUAGGUAUUUUCCAAAAGAAACUUCGAAGAGAAUAGAAACAACAGUGAAAAACUGUCGGCAAUCUGGAUCACGUAUCCGAAAGAAACCCUGAAGAGAACUAACCAACAUCUUUGAUUGUGCAAUCUGGAUCACGUAUUCUGCUGAGUUGGGGUAUCUUAACCCUAGAAAUUUGGAUGUUAGGACCUGCAUUCACCAUUUUCCAACAUAGAAAACCAUUAAUUAGAGAUGUAAAACAAAUGGCUUAUAGUUUUCUGCUGUGCAAUUGUUUAUUUUUUAGAAACUAUGUUCUCAAAAUUCUAAUCCCGAGUAGUGUUGCAACAGGUCAAAGGAAGAAGUCUAACCUGAAGAAGUGCAGGGAAGAAUUACAACUGCAUGUGGUCGGCUGGUUCAGGGGACGUUCAGGGUGGGCGCGGCGGCUCAUAUGCCGGGGCAGGCUCUUGGGCACUAGCGAUCUCGCAGACGGAUAUUAGAAAAAAAGGUGAGUUUUUUUGCUGGUAAAAAAAGCAGGUGAGGUUGUAUCUUGUCAGUUGGGUUUCCAUUGGCUGUGGAAAUCAUACCUGGCGAUCUGAUGUGGCUGCCUGCAGCUUCAAAACUCGAGCAGAUUGCUGCAUAGUAGUCUUGUUCUAGCCUGGCCGAUCGGUGAAUAUUUGAUUGUAGGUGAAGGAGGGGCGGCCGCCCACUCGACGGUGCUGAUAAGGGCGGCGAGGGAGCCCGGAAGGUAGGCGUCGAUGCAGUGCAGGUCGACGACGAUCCGAUGCAGGGAUCAAGGUCGCCGUGUAGGGAGGCGUCGAUGCAGUGCAGGGUUGGCGAUGAAAGGCAGGGAGAGGGCGAGGACGCGAUUAGGUUGAGUUUUCUUUUUCGCGUGGUGGUUAGAUGGUUAGAUUAGUGUGAUUUGAGGGGCUAUGGAGGCUGGUCAGGGAGUUUCGUAUUUUCAUCUGAUGGAGUACGGUUAGUCUAUGUAAACUGCUAAGCGCACACAAGAUCUCGAAUAAAUUAAUGAUGGUUGUUAGAUGGGGUCGUUCGGGCUUCACCCUAUGGUGUUGAUGUCGGUUACGUGGUUGUGGACGUUUUGCAGGGUGCACUUAAGAAAGUUCUUCUUUGAUUGUUUAAUAGUAGUGGAGAUAAAAUAGUCAGUUUCAUAAUUAUUCACCAAAGAAAAUUAGUAUGAUGAUACAAUGCAAAAUAUAGCUCUUAGGAUUGUUGGACAAAAUAUAUCCGGUGAAGUACCCAUAUAUUUAACAUCCAGAAGACCACAAGAUAACUUGUAUGAUGACUAUAAGUGUUAAUAGUUUUAUAAAACUAUUAUCCUUUAUUUAUUUAUAAAACUAUCAAAAUAAUAAUGACUGAAUAUUUUUUAAAACCAUUGUGACAGUAUAAAAAAACCGCACCAUACAGCCGAACCUAACACGUCCGAUAAAAAAGGAAUUAAACAAUGUCCGAUGCUAAUAUAAACCAAAUGACAAAAAUGGUAGUGAUAAUUAUGAAAAAAGAAUGAAUAACGCCCGACGCUAUAUAUUAGUAUUACUUAAUUAUUACUCCCUCUGUAAAUAAAUAUAAGACGUUUUAGACAGAGUAGUACUUGACUAAAGAGCCAUCGAUAAAGAAAGAAAAAGGAAAGAAAGAACUGGACACACCCGAUGCUCUUUGCCUCGUGCCUCCCUCUUACACCUCACACAUGACCAAACCUUAUCCUUCCAUUGUCUCCCCACCGCUCCUAGAAAAGCAAAAGAAAAAUAAAACGCUAGCAGAAAGGACGGCGCGGAGCGCCAACACCCACCACACAACAGCCAGCCGCUGCCGUCCUCGGUGCUCCCGGCGGUCGGCGAAGGCAACCCUGGGCAUGCUGCUGCUGCUGCUCCGGAGGACCGCUCACCUGGAGCAGGAGCUCGACCUUCGCUUCCGCCUCUUCCGCUACUGGGACUGCCGUGCCAACGCGCAUGCCUAGUUCCUUCACGCCAACGCCUCCGCCAUCGGCACCGUCAUUGGCAACCCCGAUGUCGCAUCGAUGCACCGCCGUCCUUCUUUGUGGGGAUGGACUGCGUCCACCUCCCAAGUACCGGGAGCGCCGAAUCCGCGUCACCAACAUCUCCAACUUCCUCACCGACGACGUUGCCGGCCUCGCCAUCUCUGUGCCAUCUAAGACCACACAUGCUGACCGCUACAUGCGCGCCGGCUUGUGGAAGGCAAGAGGGACUACACAGUGACCACGCGGGUUGGUAUCCGAUGCUUUUCCGUUGACUUCUGUUCAUAUUUGUUUCCUUAAUAUAAAUGAAACUUAAAUACAAUAUAUCUUAAUUGAUACUUUUAGUGGAUACAUGGUCGAUGUCACAAGUUAUUACUUACUGGUGAGACAUCGCACGUCGACAUGGCGAGGCUUCGCUCGGACAUACACAUAUUGCUACCUCUUGAAGAGGAAAGGGUGAUGCAGCAAAGUAGCAUAAGUAUUUUCCUCAGUUUUAAGAACCAAGGUAUCAAUCCAGUAGAAGAUGACGCACAAGUCACCGAAUACCUGCACAAAUAAUCAAGAAUUUGCAACCAAAACGAUAAAGGGGUUGUCAAUCCCUUCACGGUCACUCGCAAAAGUGAGAUCUGGUAGAGAUAAUAAAGUAAAUAUUUUUGGUAUUUUUGGUUUAUAGAUUGGAAAGUAAAGAUUGCAAAAUAAUAGAUCAGAAACUAGCAAGAUGUAAACAAGAUUUAAUAUAAUGGGAAAAGAGACCCGGGGGGCAUAGGUUUCACUAGUGGUUUCUCUCGAGAUAGCAUAUAUUAUGGUGGGUGAACAAAUUACUGCCGAACAAUUGAUAGAAAAGCGCAUAAUUAUGAUGACAUCUAAGGCAAUGAUCAUGAACAUAAGCAUCACGUCUGUGUCAAGUAGACCGCCUCCUGCCUGCAUCUACUACUAUUACUCCACCCAUCGACCACUAUCAAGCAUGCAUCUAGAGUAUUAAGUUCAUAAAGAACGGAGUAACGCAUUAAGCAAGAUGACAUGAUGUAGAGGAAUUAACUCAAGCAAUAUGAUGAAAAUCCCAUCUCGUUAUCCUCGAUGGCAACAAUACAAUACGUGCCUUGCUGCCCCUACUGUCACUGGGAAAGGACACCGCAAGAUUGAAUACAAAGCUAAGCACUUCUCCCAUGGCAAGAAAGAUCAAUCUAGUAGGCCAAACUAAACCGAUAAUUCGAAGAGACUUGCAAAGAUAUCAAAUCAUGCAUAUAAGAACUCAGAGAAGAACCAAAUAAUAUUUAUAGAUAAUCUUGAUCAUAAAUCCACAAUUCAAUAGAUCUCGGCAAACACACCGCAAAAGGGUAUUACAUCGAAUAGAUCUUCGAGAACAUCGAGGAGAACUUUGUAUUGAGAAUCAAAGAGAGAGAAGAAGCCAUCUAGCUAAUAACUAAUGACCCGAAGGUCUGUGGUAAACUACUCACACUUCAUCAGAGAGGUAAUAGUGUUGAUGUAGAAGCCCUUCAUGAUCGAAUCCCCCUCCUACAGGACGCCGGAAAAGGCCUCAAGAUGGGAUCUCACAGGUACAGAAGGUUGCGGCAGUGAAAAACUUGUUUUGUGGCUCCCCCUGAUGUUUUUAUGGUAUAAGAGUAUAUAUAGGCGAAAGAACUAGGUCGGUGGAGCUACCAGGGGCCCAAGAGGGUGGGGGCGCGCCCUCCUGCCUCAUGGCUUCCUUGUUACGUCUCCGACUUCAUCUCCAAGUCUUCUGGUUUGCUUUCGGUCCAAGAAAAAUCAUCACGAAGGUUUCAUUCCGUUUGGACUCCGUUUGGUAUUCCUUUUUCGCAAAACUCUAAAAUAGGCAAAAAAAGAAAGUAGCACUGGGCCCUCGGUUAAUAGGUUAUGCCCAAAAAUAAUAUAAAAUAGCUUAUUAAAGCCCAUUAAACAUCCAAAACAGAUAAUAUAAUAGCAUGGCACAAUCAAAAAGUAUAGAUACGUUGGAGACGUAUCAAGCAUCCCCAAGCUUAAUUCUUGCUCGUCCUCGAGUAGGUAAAUGAUAAAACAGAAUUUUUAAUGUGGAAUGCUACGUAACAUAUUUAUCAAUGUAAUUUUUUUUGUGACAUGAAUGUUCAGAUCUGAAAGAUUCAAGACAAAAGUUUAAUAUUGACAUAAAAACAAUUAUACUUCAAGCAUACUAACUAAGCAAUCAUAUCUUCUCAAAAUAACAUGGCCAAAGAAAGUUAUCCCUACAAAAUCAUAUAGUCUGGCUAUGCUCUAUGUUCAUCACACAAAGUAUUUAAUCAUGCACAACCCCGAUGACAAGCCAAGCAAUUGUUUCAUACUUUUGAUGUUCUCAAACUUUUUCAACUUCACGCAAUACAUGAGAGUGAGCCAUGGAUAUAGCACUAUGGUGGAAUAGAAGGGUGGUUGUGGAGAAGACAAAAAGGAGAAGAUAGUCUCACAUCAACUAGGCGUAUCAACGGGCUAUGGAGAUGCUCAUCAAUAGAUAUCAAUGUGAGUGAGUAGGGAUUGCCAUGCAACGGAUGUACUAGAGCUAUAAGUGUACGAAAGCUCAAAAAGAAACUAAGUGGAUGUGCACCCAACUUGCUUGCCCACGAAGACCUAGGACACUUUGAGGAAGCCCAUCAUUUGAAUAUACAAGCCAAGUUCUAUAAUGAAAAAUUCCCACUAGUAUAUGAAAAUGACAACAUCGAAGACUCUCUAUCAUAAAAAUCAUGGUGCUCUUUGAAGCAAAAGUGUGGAAAAUGAUAGUAGCAUUGCCCCUUCUCUUUUUUUUCUCAUUUAUUUUUAUUCUAUUUUUUUAUUUGGGCCUUUUCUUUUUUUAUGGCCUCUUUUUUUUCCUUUUAUUUUUAUUUUUCAUUCGGAGUCUCAUCCCGACUUGUGGGGGAAUCAUAGUCUCCAUCAUCCUUCCCUCACUGGGACAAUGCUCUAAUAAUGAAGAUCAUCACACUUUUAUUUACUUACAACUCAAGAACUACAACUCGAUACUUAGAACAAAAUAUGACUCUAUGUGAAUGCCUCCGGCGGUGUACCGGGAUGCGCAAUGAUUCAAUAGUGACAUGUAUGAAAAAGUAUGAACGGUGGCUUGGCCGCAAAUACGAUAUCAACUACAUGAUCAUGCAAAGCAAUAUGAUAAUGAUGGAGCGUGUCAUAACAAACGGAACGGUGGAAAGUUGCAUGGUAAUAUAUCUCGAAAUGGCUAUGGAAAUGUCAUAAUAGGUAGGUAUGGUGGCUGUUUUGAGGAAGGUAUAAGGUGGGUGUAUAGUAUUAGUGAAGGUUGCGCGACACAAGAGAGGCUAGCAAUGGUGGAAGGGUGAGAGUGCGCAUAAUCCAUGGACUCAACAUUAGUCAUAAAGAACUCACAUAUUUAUUGCAAAAAUCUAUUAGUUAUCAAAACUAAGUGAUACGUGUGUGCUCCUAGGGGAUAGAUUGGUAGGAAAAUACCAUCGCUCAUCCCCGACCGCCACUCAUAAGGAAGAGAAUCAAUAAAUAAAUCAUGCUCCAACUUCAUCACAUAACGGUUCACCAUACGUGCAUGCUACGGGAAUCACAAACUUUAACACAAGUAUCUCUUAAAUUCACAACUACUCUACUAGCAUGACUCUAAUAUUACCAUCUUCAUAUCUCAAAACAAUCAUAAUGAAUCAAACUUCGUAUAGUAUUCAACGCACUUUACAUGAAAGUUUCUAUUAUACCCAUCUUGGAUGCUGCUACCUCUUGAGCUUGCGUUGGU
rnacentral:lncRNA from 1 species